CUGUCCUAGCUGCAGCAUUGGCACCCUGUGAGAAGAACUGAGAAAACACAAGGAGGUGUUGCCCUCUACUUGGACAAGCUGAGCCAUAAAUCUGAGACCUGUGUUCUGCACCUGGAGCGGGAGGUUGGGGUGACCAACCUGAAGCCAGGCCAUGUCAAGGUCUAUGACUACUACCACCCAGAGGAGCAGGCCCUGGCUGAUUACAAUGUCUUCUGCAUCUGAG